ACCUGGUUGGCUCUGUGGGUUGAGCCUCUGACUUCGGCUCAGGUCGUGAUCUCCCAGUUCGUGAGUUCAAGCCCCACAUCGGGCU
rnacentral:tRNA from 1 species